rnacentral:misc_RNA from 1 species
AAGUCGUAACAAGGUUUCCGUAGGUGAACCUGCGGAAGGAUCAUUAAUGUGUGAGCGUGUAAUCAUCUUCACGCUUCAUCUUUUAUCCUUGUGCUACGUUGUUGGUAAAUUAUGUGAUCGUGUGUGCGCAUUGUGCCGUACACGUGUGUAUGUGUCUACUUAUAUGUUUUAUUAGAAUUUGCUUUCUGUGCAUUACUGCACAGUAAUAAAUUAACCGAAAACUGCCAGCAAUGGAUCACUCGGUUCUC